rnacentral:misc_RNA from 1 species
GAAAAAUUAGAUUUAUUCCAUAAUUACACAAUGCAUUGUACAAUUCAAUCAUAUAAAUGUAAAAUUCAGCUUUUCCUUAAUGCUCUCUCACGGCCAUUCAAACCUAAUACAUCAUGGCAAAAAACUCAAAUCAUUAUUAUCAGUGGCAGCAAAAGAGUGUUGACAACUGCUAAACAGAUAAAGCCCAUUCGCCUCCAUCAAGAACAACAUUUGCAUACGCUAACAGAACCUAAGAUAAAAUCCAUUGUAAGUAACAAAAACACUCAAAUCCAAUUCCUACUAUGAACCUUCUCUCUCUUGUACUGAAAAUAAGCUAAUCCAACCAAAUAAUUUCAAAUCCCAGUCUAGAAUAAACAAUGAAAACAUGUGGAAAUCUUAAAGAGCAACUCAUACAGAGCAGUAAGUAUGUAUUAUGCAUGCAUGGCAUGACUAUAGUCAUAGCGAUAACUAAACUGAAUGUAGAUUCAUUAGGAGAAACAGAAAGCAAUCUCUGAAUAGCCAAAUCAGAUAUGGGAGAAAGCUGGUGCAUGUAUAAUAAGAGAGGGAGUCAAAUAGGUAAGAAUCACUUCCAUCUCUUAAAGAGUUUGCCCUUGUGCUUUCCAAACAU